rnacentral:rRNA from 1 species
AAGCCUACAUGGUUCUGGUAUCGAUGAAGAACGCAGCGAAGGGCCAUAAGUGAUAUGAAGCGCGGAUGUCAGUGAAUCAUCGAAUCGUUGAACGCAUAUUUCGCGGACUGAGCAGGGUUUAAGUCGUCGUCAGGUGGACCUUAGGAUAGAUUGGCAUAUCUGUUGGACU